UCUCGGCUGCUCUACACGGCAAGGAGAACAUUCGAAAAUCUCCUACACCUUCCAAUCAGCAGAACACCGGCACCAAAAAUGGCUUUAACAGCACCAAAAACGGCAGUAACCGCACCAAAAAUUGCAGUAACUGUACUAAAAAUGGCAGUAACGGCACCAAAAACGGUUGUACUGCCUCUGGUGGUGGUGCUGAUGCUGGCGGCAUACCUCCUACACCCAAUAAAAGAACCACCACGGCUGGCAGUGAGACUGAAGCAGAGGCUGCCAUCGGUCGCUUGUUGAGCUCUUCCGACCACUUCCACAAACUCCAACUUAACCGCAGAGGAACCACCAAGGAGGACGUGAACAAGAGCUACCGCCGCCUCGCCGCCCUCGUGCACCCCGACAAGUGCGCCG
rnacentral:lncRNA from 1 species